rnacentral:piRNA from 1 species
UGAUGGUAUCGUGGCCUAAUUCCCAAGCGUC